CUGGUUACGUAAUCCACCAUCAUUUCUGAAGCCAAUCUGUAAAGGACAAUGUGAAAAUAAAAUAUCCAAGUCAGCAAGGCACGGCUCAGAUUGGCACGGCAAUGUAAAAAGAGUAUACAAGUACGGGAAGGCAACAGUUGCAGAGAGGGGAGUGGACGCUCUGGGUCUAUUCCUAUUGGGGUGAGCUGUUGUAACUUCUCAAGGUUUCUGCUCUGUUCUGCGUUGAACCGUGGCGUUAUGCAUUUCAUAGACUUCUGAUGGAGUUUUCCACAACAUUUGGUGCUGUGACACGGGGGAGAGCAACCUGACUUUUUGAUCUGUUUCGCUCGACUUGGACCCAGACAUCCCUCUGGCUACAACUUAAAAAAAGGUAAGAGACCUCAUUCAAACAUCUCUCAGGGGCUGGCUGUUUUCCAGCCGAGCAUUAACAGUGAAAGAUCGCAUGUCCUCCUCAUCCACAACAUUUUGGGGUUCAAUUUGGCAGAACUAUUUCCCUAUAAUAAUGAAUCUGGCUGAAUAACAUUGGCCAAUGGGAGCACAGGGGUGUCUUCAAUAGUAGGGAUUGGUUUUCCUACCAUCACGUGAAUACUGUUGGAUCAGUAUAUAAAUAGGGAUUGGUUUCUCUACACUUGCAGGUGAAUACUGUUGGGUCAGUAUAAAAACUGUUGGGUCAGUAUAAAAACUGUUGGGUCAGUAUAUACUGUAUAUACAAUCGAUUUGCACACAGAGGGUUAAGGAAGUGAGAAGGAUUGAUUAUGUCUAAUGAAGUUGGUAAAAUAUAACGUUUUUAACAUUAUUAGCAGGAAUUGGAUAGCCUACAAGAAAGUAAACAGUUGAAUUAUGUAUCUGUAGGAAUUGGUUGGCCUACAAUUGAAUAUAUAUAUAUAUAUAUAUAUCGUUUUGACUAUAAGGUAGUAGGAAUUGGUUUGGUUGGUAAUAGAACCGGUUGAGUAUAGAGGAAGUGAUAGACCAGUGGUCGGAUAGAAUUGUGUCGAUUGAGAGACGUAGUUAGAUAAAGAAAGAUCAAAUUGUGUGUGUAUAUAAUGGGUUACUAGAGAUUUGGUGUAAUAAUACAAGAGUAAGAAGACAAUUAGAAAUCAUGGGAGAUAAACCCUCCAAAAUCACCAGUGAAAGUGCUGAUCCAGGUGAAUUUUUUUUUUUUACUUGUGCACCCACACGUAGACGUACGUAAGUAGGGUAGACGUACUCAGAGAAGUUCAGAGUGGUCCCCUUACGGAACAUUUGAUAAAGAUAAGGUUAAAAGCACUGCAUGACUGUCUAAAAAGGUUUGGGAAUUAAAGUCUCAGGCAAAGAUUGGCGUAGCUUCCGCCGAAAAAUAUAAUCGCUAAGAUAUCAGAACCUUCGUCAAGAAUUUAAAUACAUUAAAUCACUGGAACACUUUAAAUUACAAUGUCCCUAUGAUUUUCCUCCUCCUCUUUCAGCAUAUGGAGAUGAUGAUGAUUUGGCCUGUUUAGGUGCUACCUAUAAAUAUAAUAUGUAAACGUUGAUAAUUCUGAAGUGAUUCAUCAAUAGCUCUAAUUCUGAUUCGGACAGGCGAGAUGGAGAGAGACAGGGCGCUGCCACUGAACUUUGAAGAAAUCACAAAGGGAGGGACGGGUGAGCUAUUCACCAAUAUUGCAUGAGUGGUGUGAGAAAAUCCUGUCUGUAGUCUAUUUGACUUUUCCUUCAAUUCCCUUAUGGGAUAAAAUGAUUUCCUUAUGCGUUAUCAAGGGUUGUAAUUAAAAUGUUAUUUGUUAUUCUGAUUAGUUUAUUUAUUUAUUUUUCCUUCUGAAGAAAUGUUGGGGGGCAGUAAUGCAAAGCUAUUCCUACACAUUCCUAUGCCCUCAUAGAAAUGUCAUCCUGCAGGUGGUUUCUGAAACUAAUUUAAUGUUUGUAAGAAUCCAUUGAGCUCCCUGGUUAGGGAGGGUUUCCUCCCAGGGUUGAGAGAGAAAAAGCCCUGUUGUAUACUCCAGCCAAUAACAAGCUACUCUAAUCAGUGGUUGAUUACUGUAACCAAUUAUAUCAAUUUCAUACUCUGUUGGCUACAUAUGGGGAGGGUUUUACGAUUCGCCACCGACACUGUUGGGUUACCUUGGAAGCAUGUAUCACGGUGUGAGUCAUGUGUCCAAAAGGUGAAUGGUCAGUGCAUGCAGAAAAUGUACUACAUGCACCGAUUUGCCAAGAACACAAUGCAGGAAAACGAGUAGACACUUCUUUGUCUUGACUACCAGUCCCCUGGGGCCCAUUAGUAAAAUAUGCAAAUUGAUUUGGCAAGGCCUAUGAGAACCCCAGCAUCCCCUCCAUGUGCUAUCCCAGAUCUGCAUCUGUUGGAUGACACUAUGAUGAAGUACUGUAUAGCUCUCUGACUAACUGUAUCCGAGCUGUUCACUCACAGGUCUCUGCUGCCCAGACUCCCCCAGAUGACUGUCCCCAUCACAAUCUCCAGUCUGGAGAUUGGGUAAUGGUCAGGUGGCACAAUAGAGGUAAAGAACCUUUAAAACCCAGGUGGAACGGACCACAUCAGAUCGCCCUCACCACCCCAACAGCGGUAAAGUGCUUAGGAAAAGACACCUGGAUCCACGCCUCCCACUGCAAGCAAGUAGCAAAGCAGGAAGAAGAUGUUACUCCUUCAACAAAGUAGGGGCACUCUGCUCAUCCUGGGACUCGCAGCUAUUGUGGCUGUGGGCAUCCUCUGGGUGGUAGCAGACUUCGAGGCAGGUGAAAGUGCUAGUAACCUCUCCCCGACCUCUCCGCUCCAACAAGGCCCAGCUUCCACAGGGUAAAGCCAAGAAGAGUACGCAUGAAACCUGCCUGGACUCUGAUGACCCCACAGACCUGAAGAGG